rnacentral:lncRNA from 1 species
ACAGAUGAUCCUCCAGGAUUUUUUUCUUUCUUUAUAUACAAUAACUCAUUACAUACCACUUCAUCUUAUCAUGAUCUGUUCCUAUGAUUAGCUCAGAUUAAGUUUGAUAUUAACAAGGAUUACAUGUUUUAUGAAUACAUCAACACAUUGUGGUACAUCUCAAUUAAUAGCAACUAGCAAGAAUUCAACAACCAUAGAGUACUGUCAUCUAAUUAUAGAUCACCGCACAAUAAACAAUUGUUAACUUCAAUUGAGGAAAAACAUAUUGUUCAGAUAGGAUCAGAGUUGAUCAAAACCAUAAGGAAAUUUUAUCUUUCUGUCUCUCUCUCUUCCUGGUAUAUAUGCAGGCCCACAAAAAACUAUGGGGAUAAGAGGAUAGAGUAGGGACAAGAGAACAGAGCUCCCUGUGCAAGAGCCUCAUCAUUCAAAAAUAUAUGGACACAGCAACAACACAGUGAAAAAUCACUCUCCUAGAUGACCCUUAAGAUAAGGAGAUGUUUUUGUUUCUUUCCUUAGAAUUCAUUUGGUCCUUAUGUUUUCAUAGUUUUUAUUAUCGUACAUCAGCAUUGCAAUUUUAAGAGUUCAAUGAAUAUCAGUUUGUUCCUUGAUACAUAUUAUUUUUGGAAGUUGAAGUGAAUGUGCUCUUAACUUGUCACAAUCCCAACAGAAAGUAGCAAAGAGACAUCAUUUCUUCUAAAUACAUGGAGGUCACAUGAUUUUUGAGUUAGCCCAAACUCGUUGUACGGCCAAUUAUUUUUCCAACUUGUAUAUUUAAUGUGAACUCCCUUCAUCCAUUAGAAUUCAAAGUUUGCUUUACUCAUCUUCUUUUGAAGGACUGAACCACAAAUGAACAUAAUGAUAAAUUAUCAAAUACUCAUUUUUCUCUUUUCUUUUUCACAUUCCAAUCACUAUUUUCGGAUAAGAUUAAUCCUGUUUCACUAUUUGCUAAUUUUUCAUUGGAAGUAGUUCUUCAAAUAGAUCACUUGAAGAGAUUAAUGUUUAUUUUCUGAAUAUAAAUAAUUAAGGAUAGCAAAGAAGUAAUUGUGCUUUGCAAAUCAUACCAUAGAUAAUGUUGUGAACAAAAUUGCAAUGGGCCAGUUGAUGAGUGGGAUUCCAUCAGAACAUCGAAAGCAAUAGCUGGCAAUGCCAUGUGAAUAAGGUGGGGACACUUACACAUGCAUACCAAAUCCCAUCUCUUUCUUCUUCAUUAUUCUUCUUCACUUCUUACUUCACUUUUUUACAAAAUUCUUACAUAUAACAUUAUAUACACAAGUCACAAUUCCAUUCAAUGUUGUUUUCUUUUAAUUAUUACCCUGCAACCUUCUACUUGCUUCUCUGUUCAAUCUUGAAUAGAAGAGCAUGCAU